UCUGUGUUUUGUUAAACAGGUGUCGAUGGCUUAAUGAGUAUUGUAUCUUAUUGACCUGUUGGCAUGCUUUCGGAUGCCUUUAAACGGGUGUCGGGGGCGGACGGCAUCUGUACUUUGAACAAAUUUGAGUGCUCAAAGCAGGCCUAUGCGCCUGAAAAUUCUUGCAUGGAAUAAUGAAAUAGGACUUCGGUUCUAUUUUGUUGGUUUUCGGAUCCGAAGUAAUGGUUAAGAGGGACAGACGGGGGCAUUUGUAUGGCGGUGUUAGAGGUGAAAUUCUGGGAUCGCCGCCAGACAAACUACAGCGAAAGCAUUUGCCAAGAAUGUUUUCAUUGAUCAGGAGCGAAAGUCAGAGUUUCGAAGACGAUCAGAUACCGUCGUAGUUCUGACCAUAAACGAUGCCAACUGACGAUCCGCGUUGGUUCUAUAAUUGACAUCGCGGGCAGUCCCCGGGAAACCUUUAAGUCUUUGGGCUCCGGGGGGAGUAUGGUUGCAAAGCUGAAACUUAAAGGAAUUGACGGAAGGGCACCACCAGGAGUGGAGCCUGCGGUUUAAUUCGACUCAACACGGGAAAACUCACCCGGCCCGGACACUGUGAGGAUUGACAGAUUGAAAGCUCUUUCUUGAUUCGGUGGUUGGUGGUGCAUGGCCGUUCUUAGUUGGUGGAGCGAUUUGUCUGGUUAAUUCCGAUAACGAACGAGACUUUAACCUACUAAAUAGUAGACUGGUCCUCUGUGCUCGUUCAGGGCGCGGCUUCUACUGCUUCUUUAUGGAGUAGUGUGGUCGUGAUCCGACGGGUGCGGUGCCAGUUUUUACUUCUUAGAGGGACAAGCGGCACACUUAAGUCGCACGAAAUUGAGCAAUAACAGGUCUGUGAUGCCCUUAGAUGUCCGGGGCCACACGUGCGCUACAAUGACGGUGCCAGCGAGCCUGCAAACCUGGCCCGAAAGGGUUGGGCAAACUGUUUCAUCACCGUCGUGACUGGGAUCGGGGCUUGCAAUUAUUCCCCGUGAACGAGGAAUUCCUGGUAAGUGCAAGUCAUAAGCUUGCGCUGAUUACGUCCCUGCCCUUUGUACACACCGCCCGUCGCUACUACCGAUUGAAUGGUUUAGUGAGGUCGUUGGAUUGGUGUCGUUGUAGUGGCUUUAUCGCUGCUCGACUGAUAUCGAGAAGACGACCUAAUUUGACUAUUUAGAGGAAGUAAAAGUCGUAACAAGGUUUCCGUAGGUGAACCUGCGGAAG
rnacentral:rRNA from 1 species